GUGCUGUCCCGCUCACAGACACUGCCCCCGCAGCUCCUAUUGGCUGUGGUUCCCAGCCAAUGGGAGCUGCUAAGCUGGCACUUGGAGCGGGGACAGUGCGUGGAGCCCCUUGGCUGCCCCUAUGCCUAGGAGCUGGAGAGAGGACAUGUUGCUGCUUCUGGGAGCUGCGCGGAGCCACAGAAGGCAAAGAGCCUGCCUUAGUCCUGCUGGACCAUCGACGGGACUUUUAGUGGCUCAGUCAGCGGUGCUGACCAGAGCCACCAGGGUCGCUUUUUGACUGGAUGUUCCCAUCAAAAACCGCUUUUUGAAGUGUAGGUUUUGAGCUAUACAGUCAUAAGUGGCUUAGGACCUGUCUGCUUGAGAAACUGCUUCUCUCUGCAUGAUACAACUACGGUAGAGAUCAGUGGGAGCACUUUUGUGGCACACAUCGGGAGCUCAAAAGAUCCUUGAGAUGCUUGCUUUUCCCCUUGCUCCAAAAUAGCUCGAGUCUAUUGACCUGUAGGGCAUGCUGCAAAACCUAUUUUUUCCUAUUUACUCUUUAAUAAAUAUGUUUAUAUAUAUAUAUAUGUAUAUAUAUAUAUAUAAAAACCCCAUAACACACUAUAUAUAAACUUCUCAUUACAUUUGCUACCUAACCUACUUGCAACAUUUGAUUAUAUAUAAUAUAAAUGGUUAAAAUAUAAAUCAAUUAUUUGUAUUACACAGUUUACAAACAAACAACAUUUGUUUAUAAAAAUCCAAUUAGUUUUAAUCUUAUUCAGCUUUAUCCUUAUUUUAUGUAUAGAGAAAUUGGUGGUGGUGGGGCAGGGGGGAUUAGAAUGUGAUAAAGAACAGAAGCAAACUUCAGAGGAGGGGAAAACAGAAGAGGAGGGAAGGAAGUGGGCAGAGAAGAGGCAGAGGCAAGGGCAGGCCCAUACAUUUAAUAGAAUCAUUCAGAUACUUCCUGGAAAGCAUCCCAUAUCUUGGGUAUUUCUGUUAUGGUAUAUAAUUCUUUCCAUGGUGGCCAAGCUUAUGAUGUCUAUUCUCCAAUCUCUAAUUGUUGGUCGCUUUUUGGAUUUCCAUGUUUAUAGCACUAGUUUUUCAGCAAUUAUUACUGCUCUGCUGAGCCAAUUUUUCAUAUUUAUCCAGGUUCCAAUUAACAUCCAUUAGGUUUAAAAUUACAUGUUUAUUUUAUAACAAUUUUUUCCUAUAAAAUAAAAUUGUAACUCUGUAAUCGGGUUCUUCCCAAAACAUAUGCGUGUAGGAGCAUUCUCAUGGCAGAUGGGUUAAAUUAGUGUCUUAUCAAAUCACAGCAAUAACAUUUGUCUGACUUAGUGGCACCUGUUUUGAACAAUCAGCGGGGGUUCCAAUGCAGAUUCCAUAUGAUUUUCUGAUGGAUUAACCUUAACUGGUGGUCCAAGAAGCAGUUCAGAACACUGGCCAAAAUUUGUUUCCAUUGGUUUGCAGAGAAUAAUUGGCUCAGUUCCUCCUCCAUUUCUUUAUUAAGAAAUCCAUGUUUAAUUCAAAUUUGCUGGCCUUGGGUGCAUAUAAUGUUGCUGUAGGUCUUGGUAAUCUGGGUAAUAUUUGAAGAAAUGAAAUAUGGAUCGGGUCGGGAUAACGCAUGUAUCAGAGCUAAACUCAUGAGAGAUGGCAUGUGUAAAGUGGAUAUAUUGCCAUUCCUUCUUAGUUUCUAGACUGAACCUUUCUUUUAAUACUUUAAAAAGGAGGAAGAUAUCAUUUUCAGUAAAUUGGCUGAUGGUCAAAAUCACUUUCUUAAUCCAAUCAGCCAAAUGAUGGAGUUGCUUGCUGUACAGAGUUUGAGUUACUGCAGAUAGAGGCCUUGGUAUAUAGAAGGGGGUGAUUUUUAAAUUGAGUAGACAUAGUACGCCAAGUAUAUCUGGCUGCCACACUAAUUGGUAAUUGCUCUUCAGGCAAUUGGUAGUAGUCCGGGUGCAGCACAUUGGGAAGGGGUAAAGGAGCAACCCACUUUGCUUCCAUCUGGAGCCAAUCCAGGGCUCUACAGCACAAGGGAAUGAGCCAGUGUGCAGUUUGGCUAAGAAUUAUUGCCUGAUGGUAAAGUUUACAGUUGGUAAAUCUGAAACCACCUGCUUUGAUAGGAAGCUGUAAUCUGUGUGAGGAGACUCUGGGCUUGUUAUUGAAAAUGCCUAUCUUUAUCCUCCUGGCUUUUUUGGAGGAUGGGAUGUAUAAGAAUUGACAGUUGAAUAGGGUGAGGUAUUUCCAGUGUUCACAUUGCUUGGCAGGUAUAUUUUCAUUAUAUAUGAUGGAAAUUAGCUUCUAGACUUUUUUUUUUUUAAUGUAUCUACAUUGACAUCUACAUCUACAUUAGAGGACCAGAUAAUGGGACUAAUGUGAGAUGAGAAUCUGGCGUAACGAUUCUGGGAGUGCUUGAUGGCAAGAAACUGCUUGGCCAAGUGGACUUUAGGAGAAAUAUUUUGAGAAAAUGAAUGUCAAGGAAGACCCAAUUUAUACAGAAAACUAUUAUAGAUUUCACUGUAGACCUAGAUAAGGGAGAAAUCCCAAGAGUGGGACAUUACCUCUGAUGCUUUCAGAUCUCCUGUCAUCCCACCUAGUGUUUUUUUCUUUUCCCCCCAUUGUGUAUCAUCAUAUGCUUAGAAUGUGAUCUCUUUAGAGCAGGGACCUUCUGCCUUGCAUGAUGGGGCACUUUUGGGGGAUUCCAUGUGCUAAAGCAAGUAAAUAAUAACACUACUGCUACUACUCAACAAUCUGUGUGGUAAUGAUUUGUAAAAUUGCUUAUCUUUUCAAAAGAAAGAGUUAUAAGAAAAUAACUCCUGGGACAGGGAAAGAGUAUUAAGGAAGGUGAGAACAAAGGUGAGAAAAUCCAUAUAUUCCUGGAACUGCAUACACAGACUCAUGCUAGGAGGACGGAACUACCAGAAAUAAAGAAGGAAGAUCAAAAAGAAAAGCAGAAACAUCUUUAUUAUCACCAAAGGAGCAAAUCAUGCACCAAAAUAAAACAUGCCUAUUUUGGGAUGCUAAAGACUGUUGGGUGAAAUAUGUGCUGAGAGCUUGAAAGCAAAACUUCUCUCUGAUAUAAACUUAGCUUGAAGGUUUUCUGACUCCUGGAGUCAUAGAACAAGUACAAAGAAACAGGUUAAUUUUGUGCUACCCCUUUGAAGUUAUAUUUAUCUUAGCAAAUGUUCAGCAUAUUGGUAGUUUAUUCUGGGAAUGCUGGGCAGCAGUAGGAGAGGUUAGAGCCACUUAAAAGGUACUGUAUGAAACCUACAGUUUAUGGUCCAGAUCCUCAGCUGCUGUCUUCAGUGAAGCUAUGCUAAUUUACAACAGUUGAGAUCUGGCUCUGUGUCUUCUUAAUAUAUUAAAUGUAUCCUAUAGAUUUAUUGUACAAUAUAUUAUGCUUUUCUUCCUUUUAUAUAUACUGUUUUUUAUAUCCUUUGUUGCCCCCUCUCCCGCCCCAAACAACCAAUCUGUAAAGGGAAUGAAAUUAUGAUUUAUAGAAGGGUGGAGACAGACAUACCUCUUACUUUCAGUGUAGUCAAACACUGCGGGAUUUGGAUAAAUGGCGCCAUCUGCUAUUGUGUAUGACACAGUUUACUGCAUCAUGAGUGUUAUUUAAAUGACAAUCCAUUCGAGGAAUUGGUUUACGUGACUUUUUUUUUUAAAUGAACUGUUUGCUCUCAAUUUGACUCUUCUGAAAAAUGUAACACAAUCCAGCUAUCUGGUUGGAAAGAGGGAAAUGGCACUUGUGACAUUUUGGGGAUCACCCAGACCAGUAAGAUUCUGUCACCCUGUGCCUUGUAACGCUGGGUGUCUUAAUUCUAUAAUGCUAUGGUUCAGAGCUCUGACACCAGUAGUCAGCCUACAAAUAUAAAGGUCUCAAUCCCAGUUUCCACCAGCCUAGGUACUCCUUUCAGGGUGACCUCAACAACCUCCUCUGAUCCCAAGUUUUCCUAAAUCCAUCUCCCCAAGUUCUUAACUACCAGACGCUUGGACUCUCUCUCUCUCUCUGGUUUGUCACCCUUUAAAAAAGGAAAAGGAUUGGGAGUGAAAGCUAUCCAGAAAAUGAGGACCAGCAUCAUAGAGUAUGUCUACACAACAAUUAAACAGCCCUGCAGCCCAAGUCCCUUGAGCCUGAGUCAGCUAGCAUGGGCCAGCUGCAUGUUUUUAAUUGCAGUGUAGACCUACCCUGUGAUGCUGGCCCUCAGUUUCUGGAUAGUCUUCACUUCAAAUCCUCUUCCUUUUUAAACAAUGUUUACAAAUGCUCCCCCCCCCCAAGCCACUUAAACGAUGGUAGUUCAUGGUUACACUGAGUGAGCAAACUCCCUCUUUUCUUAGUUUUCCAAGACUGGGCUUUUCUUUUUAGUUGUAGUGUCUUUCUAUUAAUUUAAUGGUCCACCAUUGUCUUUCCCUAGGUUGUACAAUGUUAGGUGCUUGCAGUUAAUUUCGUGUAAAAUGGGAGAUGACACUCUCUGCCUGAUUACUUCACUCCAUGUUGUGAGGUGAUGCUGCUGUUGCAUGCUAGUUACAAUUACAAUUGUAUACAUAUAUAGAUACACAUGCAUACAUCUGUAACCAUAACCUGUAUACAUGUCUCCUAAUGAGCAAGUUCAAAACAUUACAAGCUUUCAUAAAAGACCUUACUUGACAUAUAUUUCUACACAAUAACAUUGCAUACAACCCUUUGAUUCAAUUGCUUAUUCUCUGGGGUUCAGAUCCUGUUUUCUCCUUGGGGUGGUUGGCCCCUGAUUCAGCUUCCAAGAUUCAGCUUCCAAGCACUGCGGAGUCUGGCUGGGUCAACUACAAGGAGGAAACAGGUCAGUUUAAAACUACCUACCCAAUGUAAGUGUUUGCCCUUUCAACAGCAGUGCGUGGUCCUCUUCUAACUCUCCAUUUAAUGUUUAGAACAGAAAGUGAGAGUUGAAUUGAAUGUGACCAGUGGGCCACAACUGCUGCUGGAGGCAGCUAGGGAAUAGAACAGGGGAACAGGACUGUGAAGAGUCCAGGAAAUCUAAGAAAAAGUUGAAUUCAUCAAAUAUAUUGGCAGGUCCAAUAGGAGUAUGCUAUAUGAAACAUACUAUAUAGUAUGAUAUACCGUAGUUAGGAAGUUAAGUACUAGAACAAAUUACCUAGGGAGGUUAUUGAAUCUCCAUCAUUGGAGGUUUUAAAGAACAGUCCGAGAUGAUCUAGACAAUACCUAGUCCUGCCUCAGAGCAGAGGAUUGGACUAGAUGACCUAUCAAGGUUCCUUCUGGUCUUCUAGGAUUUCUAUGACAUCAGACCUUCCAAGAACACUGUUAUGCCCUGUAGACUACAGACACUAAGACAGCAUCUGAAUAUUUCCUUUAUACACUUGGCCUCUUUGGUGUAGAAAGGAUUCUGGGGCAGGCUGGGGAGGUGUCAGAGCAGGAGGUGCAAAGAACAGAGCACAAGUUACUCCAGAAAUCCAGGUCAGCAGAAUACUUGUUGGGGAGCUAUUAGCCAGCAGUGCAAGUUAGAGCAGCCUCAGAGCUGUUCUAUCUUGCAUUAAAGCCAGCUCAGAAUCUGGCAGUCUCCAAGGUUGGAAGUUAGAAAAGUGGUGGGAAAACCUCCCAUCAUUCUCAGUUGCACCAGGUGUUGCUCUGGUGCAUCUUGGGGCCUUACCCAAUAAUUAUAAAUUAUCUUCACUCUACAUGGUCAAAUACCUUCUACAUAUUGAAUGAACACCCAGCAUCAAGGAUCUAGCAUAUGCCCAAAACUGAAUAAGCUACAAAUACGAUAUUGUCAAUAGUAUGUCUUCUCUACAGAAACUUGAUCUGAUCUAAAUACAUUAAUUCAGUUCCCAAAAACUUACUUAAGGUUGACCAGCAGUGCCAUGUCUGCUUCCAUAAAGUUAAAUGCAGCUAUAUUUAAACCUCUGAAAAACUGGAAG